rnacentral:rRNA from 1 species
UACGGGGGGGGCAAGCGUUGUUCGGAAUACUGGGCGUAAAGGGCUCGUAGGCGGCCAACUAAGUCCGACGUGAAAUCCCAAGGCUUAACCUUGGAACUGCGUCGGAUACUGGAUGGCUUGAAUUCGGGAGAGGGAUGCAGAAUUCCAGGUGUAGCGGUGAAAUGCGUAGAUAUCUGGAGGAAUACCGGUGGCGAAGGCGGCAUCCUGGACCGACAUUGACGCUGAUGAGCGAAAGCUAGGGGAGCAAACGGG